UACAGAGGUCCCAAGCGUUGUUCGGAUUUACUGGGCGUAAAGGGUGCGUAGGUGGCGAGGUAAGUUUGAUGUGAAAUCUCCGAGCUCAACUCGGAAAUGGCAUUGAAUACUAUCCCGCUUGAGGGUCGGAGGGGAGACUGGAAUUCUCGGUGUAGCAGUGAAAUGCGUAGAUAUCGAGAGGAACACCAGUGGCGAAGGCGAGUCUCUGGACAGUUCCUGACACUGAGGCACGAAGGCCAGGGGAGCAAACGGG
rnacentral:rRNA from 1 species